rnacentral:rRNA from 1 species
GGGUUGUGAGGUUAAGCGAAUAAGCGUACACGGUGGAUGCCUAGGCAAUCAGAGGCGAUGAAGGACGUGCUAAUCUGCGAUAAGCGUCGGUAAGGUGAUAUGAACCGUUAUACCCGACGAUUUCCGAAUGGGGAAACCCAAUAUCCAAUGGAUAUUAUCAUGACGUGAAUACAUAGCGUCAUGAAGCGAACCGGGAGAACUGAAACAUCUCAGUACCCCGAGGAAAAGAAAUCAACCGAGAUUCCCCUAGUAGCGGCGAGCGAACGGGGAACAGCCCAGAGUCUUAAUCAAUAGCAGCAUCAGGAGAACGGUCUGGAAAGUCCGGCAGUAAAGGGUGAUAGCCCCGUAUCUGAAGAUGCUGUUAUUGUGAACUCGACGAGUAGGGCGGGACACGUGUUAUCCUGUCUGAAUAUGGGGGGACCAUCCUCCAAGGCUAAAUACUCCUGAUUGACCGAUAGUGAACCAGUACCGUGAGGGAAAGGCGAAAAAGAACCCCGGCGAGGGGAGUGAAAAAGAACCUGAAACCGUGUACGUACAAGCAGUAGGAGCCCCACCACUAAGCUAGUGGUGAACUCACUAGCGAUUCUUUUUGCAUGAUAAUGUGCGGUAGACGGAGCGAAUGCGACGUUCAACCAACAAAAAUCAAGCAGAGGAGGCUUAGUGGUGGGGUGACUGCGUACCUUUUGUAUAAUGGGUCAGCGACUUAUAUUCUGUAGCAAGGUUAACCGUAUAGGGGAGCCGUAGGGAAACCGAGUCUUAACUGGGCGAAUGAGUUGCAGGGUAUAGACCCGAAACCCGGUGAUUCAUCCAUGGGCAGGUUGAAGGUUGGGUAACACUAACUGGAGGACCGAACCGACUAAUGUUGAAAAAUUAGCGGAUGACUUGUGGAUGGGGGUGAAAGGCCAAUCAAACCGGGAGAUAGCUGGUUCUCCCCGAAAGCUAUUUAGGUAGCGCCUCGUGAACUCAUCUUCGGGGGUAGAGCACUGUUUCGACUAGGGGGUCAUCCCGACUUACCAACUCGAUGCAAACUGCGAAUACCGAAGAAUGUUAUCACGGGAGACACACGGCGGGUGCUAACGUCCGUCGUGAAGAGGGAAACAACCCAGACCGCCAGCUAAGGUCCCAAAGUCAUGGUUAAGUGGGAAACGAAGUGGGAAGGCUCAGACAGCCAGGAUGUUGGCUUAGAAGCAGCCAUCAUUUAAAGAAAGCGUAAUAGCUCACUGGUCGAGUCGGCCCGCGCGGAAGAUGUAACGGGGCUAAACCAUGCACCGAAGCUGCGGCAGCGACACUUAUGUGUUGUUGGGUAGGGGAGCGUUCUGUAAGCCUGCGAAGGUGUGCUGUGAGGCAUGCUGGAGGUAUCAGAAGUGCGAAUGCUGACAUAAGUAACGAUAAUGCGGGUGAAAAAAACCCGCACGCCGGAAGACCAAGGGUUCCUGUCCAACGUUAAUCGGGGCAGGGUGAGUCGACCCCUAAGGCGAGGCUGAAAAAGCGUAGUCGAUGGGAAACGGGUUAAUAUUCCCGUACUGGUGGUAACUGCGAUGGGGGAACGGAGAAGGCUAGGUUGUCCGGGCGACGGUCGUCCCGGUUCAAGCAUGUAGGCAGAGUGAUUAGGCAAAUCCGGUCACUUAAUGCUGAGGUGUGAUGACGAACCACUAAGGUGGUGAAGCAAUUGAUGCCCUGCUUCCAGGAAAAGCCUCUAAGCUUCAGGUUACCAACAAUCGUACCCCAAACCGACACAGGUGGUCAGGUAGAGAAUACUCAGGCGCUUGAGAGAACUCGGGUGAAGGAACUAGGCAAAAAUGGUGCCGUAACUUCGGGAGAAGGCACGCUGGCGGUAAGUGAAGUCCCUUGCGGACGGAGCCGAAGCCAGUCGAAGAUACCAGCUGGCUGCAACUGUUUAUUAAAAACACAGCACUGUGCAAACACGAAAGUGGACGUAUACGGUGUGACGCCUGCCCGGUGCUGGAAGGUUAAUUGAUGGGGUUAUCCUUAGGGAGAAGCUCUUGAUCGAAGCCCCAGUAAACGGCGGCCGUAACUAUAACGGUCCUAAGGUAGCGAAAUUCCUUGUCGGGUAAGUUCCGACCUGCACGAAUGGCGUAAUGAUGGCCAGGCUGUCUCCACCCGAGACUCAGUGAAAUUGAACUCGCUGUGAAGAUGCAGUGUACCCGCGGCAAGACGGAAAGACCCCGUGAACCUUUACUAUAGCUUGACACUGAACAUUGAGCCUUGAUGUGUAGGAUAGGUGGGAGACUAUGAAGUGUGGACGCCAGUCUGCAUGGAGUCAACCUUGAAAUACCACCCUUUAACGUUUGAUGUUCUAACCUAGGUCCAUAAUCUGGAUCGGGGACCGUGUCUGGUGGGUAGUUUGACUGGGGCGGUCUCCUCCUAAAGAGUAACGGAGGAGCACGAAGGUUGGCUAAGCAUGGUCGGACAUCAUGCGGUUAGUGCAAAGGCAUAAGCCAGCUUGACUGUGAGAGUGACGGCUCGAGCAGGUACGAAAGUAGGUCUUAGUGAUCCGGUGGUUCUGAAUGGAAGGGCCAUCGCUCAACGGAUAAAAAGGUACUCCGGGGAUAACAGGCUGAUACCGCCCAAGAGUUCAUAUCGACGGCGGUGUUUGGCACCUCGAUGUCGGCUCAUCACAUCCUGGGGCUGAAGUAGGUCCCAAGGGUAUGGCUGUUCGCCAUUUAAAGUGGUACGCGAGCUGGGUUUAGAACGUCGUGAGACAGUUCGGUCCCUAUCUCGCCGUGGGCGUUGGAAGAUUGAGAGGGGUUGCUCCUAGUACGAGAGGACCGGAGUGAACGCACCACUGGUGUUCGGGUUGUCAUGCCAAUGGCAUUGCCCGGUAGCUAAGUGCGGAAGAGAUAACCGCUGAAAGCAUCUAAGCGGGAAACUUGCCUCGAGAUGAGUCUUCCCUGUCACCUUGAGUGACCUAAAGGAACGUUUAAGACUAAGACGUUGAUAGGCUGGGUGUGUAAGCGUAGCGAUACGUUGAGCUAACCAGUACUAAUGAACCGUGAGGCUUAACCUGACAACACCGAAGGUGUUU